CCUACGGGAGGCAGCAGUGAGGAAUAUUGGUCAAUGGCCGAGAGGCUGAACCAGCCAAGUCGCGUGAGGGAAGAAUGUCCUAUGGAUUGUAAACCUCUUUUGUCAGGGAGCAAAGUCACCCACGUGUGGGUGUUGGAGAGUACCUGAAGCAAAAGGCUCGGCUAACUCCGCUCCAGCAGCGGCGGUAAUACGGGGGAUGCGAGCGUUACCCGGUUUUAUUGGGUUGAAAGGGUGCGUAGGCGGGGCAUCAAGUCAGCGGUAAAAUCGUGGGGCUAAACUCCAUCCAGCCGUUGAAACUGAUGAUCUUGAGUGGGCGAGAGGUAUGCGGAAUGCGUGGUGUAGCGGUGAAAUGCAUAGAUAUCAGGCAGAACUCCGAUUGCGAAGGCAGCAUACCGGCGCCCGACUGACGCUGAGGCACGAAAGCGUGGGUAGCGAACAGGAUUAGAUACCCUGGUAGUC
rnacentral:rRNA from 1 species